CUAACAUGCUUUGCUCUACUAAUAAUCAUUUAUGACUUUUUGUGAUAAUGUCUCUAGUUGCUGUUAAAAUAGAGAUCCGGUGUUGCAUGUAGAUUAGAGGAGACAGAAGUACUACACUACAGGUUAUGUAAAUAAUCAGGGUUAGCAUUUGUCAAUAAGGGUUGACACAGUGAUAAGGCUGAGUUUUUUGAAAGUCAUUACCACUAAUUAGUAACUAUGGGCUAAAAACAGUAGUUUUUAUAGUUCUAUUUUUUCUGCCGUCGUGCCCUCGGUAGUUCAUUGUAGGAAUAGCUUGAUCUCGCAAGAGGAAUGAUGGUUGACUACACAUUGGUGUAUGUUUUCAAAUAUAUCCCACUCUCUCAUUCUACCAUUGGUCAGCUUUGUGCCCACAACUGCAAAAAUGUUGUGAUGAGUCAUGAAAUGCACAACACAUGUCAGACUUCAGAGAUGCCACGGCAUUCAUGAGAAGAUAUUUCAUAUUCUGAGCUAUUUUUUUUGGUUUCAUUCCUCAGUUUCUAAAUGCCUGUUUCUGUUCAUAAACAAACAGUUAUGUUCCUUAGGUGCUACUGGGAGAAUUUCAUAGUUGUUGUCUCAGUUUGUUCAAUUGUUAUCUACAUUUUUUAAAUCAUUGUCUACAUGAUUUGUUUACUUUUUUAUGAUUUAUCAGAACACUAGCUGAGCUUAUAAUUACACAAACUUUUUUAAUCUUCUUGUGUAUUUUUAUAUCCCCUUUAUUAAAUCUGUGAGGGUCAAAUGAUGAGGAACAAACUGCAACAAUAUGAUGGAGCAAUGCUCCUGUGACUCUUUAGUAUUUAAGUCUCAUUUUUAUGGUUGGUGAGGAACAAAGUGCAACACACUUUCUGGUUGCUCAUUUUAUGUUCCAAGUCAUUGUAUCUUCCCACCAGAUAUAUGAUUUAAUAUUCCACUUGGCGAACCAUGAGCAGCAUGCCAUCUUGAUUAAUUGGCAUGAUUUAUAUUUUUCUAUCUGUGCAUGCUUUGAUUGAUCUUUAUUUCAUUUUUAAAGUAAUUGUUCACUACUAAAUUGUUAGCAUUUAAGACACAUGUGCGGCAACUGGCUGACCAUUGCCUGAGCGUUGACACACAAGAAGAAGGGUUGACAAAGACCUACGCUGGACGUCAACGAGGACGUGCAGCCUACCCCAACUUGCUUGGGAAAAAGGCUUUGACAAUGUUGUUGUGGGCAGUGGUGGGUUCAAGAACGACGACUUGCUCCACUUGGACAACGCUGGGGACAAGAGCGGCCACGACAAUUUGUAGUAAGGCCAUGGAGCACCUCCUCCGCCGGCAGCAGCUUGUGGUGCGCUGGCUGCCAUGACGGAAACGGCAAGGAGCCAAGCAGCCGCAGCGACCGAGGCACUGGAGAUGGAGGUCCUCCUCAAUGGCUUCAGUAUGCCCGUGUCGACCUCACAAGCCAUAGAGCUAUUUACGCAUGCAUUUGAGGAAUGCCAACUGCUGUAAUAACAAGUGUGCCCACAACAAUCAGGUAAAGAAGAAAAGGCUAAGAUGAUCUGAAGUAACAAGUUUAGGUCCUCGUAAUGUUUUUGGCCUCUUUGGAGUUUGGCAUGUCCUCUAAAGCUGGCAUUGGCGGUGCCGCUGCUGGUGAUAUGCUGGCUGUGGAGUGUGUGUGAUACUGUCGUUUUGGUACUUGUAGGGUCGUCUUUGUAAUGCUCCUGGCCAGGGAGUUGUGGUGAUACUAAGUAGCUGGUCAUACUUUCGAGUCUUGUGGGUUUUUGUAUUUGAAAUGAUAUGAUUUGUGCUGUGUGCACAUUAUUGUUUGUUGCGUGUUGUGAAUGAUAAAAAAAGAUGAGAAGUUGUGCCAAAA